GGUUUUGGUUAAAUUAUGGUUUAAGUCUAUUUUGAUUAUCAUGUCGUGUGCCAUGGUUGAUUAUAAAUUGUGUUAUGUGCUUGUAUUCGGAGGUGAUAUGGAUGAAUUGGUUAUGUUAUAUAUGUUUAAUCUUAGUCUGAGCUUAUAUUGAGAGUGUAUCCAAAUUGCCUGAUGUUUGUGAAGCUUAUUAUGUGUUUUGGCCAUAUGAUAUAUAAUGGUUGUUAAUUGAGCUUAAAUAGAUCAUGUGUUAGUUAGGUAAAAAUCAAGAC
rnacentral:lncRNA from 1 species